CCUACGGGUGGCAGCAGUGGGGAAUAUUGGACAAUGGGGGCAACCCUGAUCCAGCCAUGCCGCGUGUGUGAAGAAGGCCCUCGGGUUGUAAAGCACUUUCAGUGAGGAAGAACGCCUGGUGGUUAAUACCCAUCAGGAAAGACAUCACUCACAGAAGAAGCACCGGCUAACUCCGUGCCAGCAGCCGCGGUAAUACGGAGGGUGCGAGCGUUAAUCGGAAUUACUGGGCGUAAAGCGCGCGUAGGUGGCUUGAUAAGCCGGUUGUGAAAGCCCCGGGCUCAACCUGGGAACGGCAUCCGGAACUGUCAAGCUAGAGUGCAGGAGAGGAGGGUAGAAUUCCCGGUGUAGCGGUUAAAUGCGUAGAGAUCGGGAGGAAUACCAGUGGCGAAGGCGGCCUUCUGGACUGACACUGACACUGAGGUGCGAAAGCGUGGGUAGCAAACAGGAUUAGAUACCCGAGUAGUC
rnacentral:rRNA from 1 species